rnacentral:lncRNA from 1 species
GAAGAAAUAGAUUAUUAAAUAAAAGUAUGAAAAAGGGAACUAGCUCAACACUGAAACUUUGCCAAAUAUGUUUCUGUGAAAUUGCUAAAGGUAAACCCCACAAAUGUUCCCCUUUAAAGAGUAGCACAAAUCUUUCUGAGAGUAUUUCUAAAAUUUCUAAAAAAGUAAAAGAACAAGUAACAGGUACAAGGAACAAGUAGCUUCUUCUCUCCUUCUUAAAGAAAUUUAUUCUGAUCAAGAGCAAAGUCUAGGAGCUCAAGCCAUUCUCAGAACAAGUAAAUAGCUGUUAUGUAUGUUCUUAAAAUAAGAGUUUAUAUUACAUUAAGGAGGUAAAAGUAUUCAUAUUACACUCGGUACUCAGGAAAGUGACCAGAGAAAGAUUCCUUAUAAUGAAGUAGAAGUUUUGGUAAAUACCUUAGGACUUAGUCAAUUGAAGUCAAAUGAAAUGUUAAAAAACUUUGAGGAGAAGUGGUGUAAAGUUUGAGUCAAACAUGGAGAAAGCCCUGGAUGAAAAAAAAAUAAACUACUUUCCAACUUUUAUGUCACUGAAUUAUUAGACUUUCAAUAAAAAGAAAAAGAUAAUGACUAUGCUACAGUGAAGAGACACUUGGUAUAUAUUGAAGAUACUACAAAAUUUCUGGAUUUUGUAAUAAAAUAUCGAGGGCAGGUUCCACAAAACACAUUUGUAAAGGUUGGAAUAGAUUCAGGUGGAGGAUCACUGAAAGUUAUAGUAAACCUGUUUGAUCCAACCAAGGACAGGACAGAAGAUAGUAGCUACUUAGGAUCAUACUCAGGAGCAAAUUUGUCACUUGUUUUAGCUUAUUGUAAAAGGGUAAGUGAGAAUCAUUCUAACAUGACAAUGAUUGUGGAAAGAUUAAAGUUGCAUGAAUGCAAGUACUCAUUGGCUUCUGACAUGAAGUUAAUCAACAUAUUGCUAGGAAUUUCGUUGUGUUUGUUUUAAUUAAUUUUAAGAUAAUAAGACAUAUUAUGGUAAAAACUAUAUUAGGAAAAGGUUUUUUUUACCCUACAAUAUAUUUAUAAAUUGAAUUAUAAUAUAAAAUUUUAGGCUAAUGGAGGAAAGUAUGCUUGUGCAUGGUGUGAAGGUUCUUCAGAAUUAUUUUCUCUAGAGUUAAGAAGAUUUCAAUCUUUAAAUAAUUACUAUGAACUGUAUUCAUCUGCAGGAUCUCCAGUGAGAAGAAUGAAAGAAUAUAAGAAUGUCAUUAAUCCUUGUCUGCUUAAGAUAUAAAACAAAUCCCUAAGUAUAAUAAGAGAGAUUACAUUACCAGGACUUCACCUUCUGAUGGAAUUUGUUAACCAUGUGGCAGAAUUUAUAAUGCAACUUUGGCCUGGAUUUAUAGAUUGGGUCAAGAGCAUUGGAUGCCUUCGAAAAGGUUACCAUGGAGGAACAUUUGAAGGAAACACGUGUAGAGAGAUACUUAAAAGUUGCGACAAACUUGAGUUGAUAAUGCCUGUUGAACUGUAUCCUCUCUUAGAAACAAUGAGAAAAUUUAAAAAGAUUGUUCAUAGUGUCUUUGGCUAUAAACUUGACCCAAACUAUUCAAUUUUAAUUGAAAGUUUUACACAAAGCUAUAAGGAUGCACAAGACUAUUGCAGAGAGUUUUUAGGUAAACAGCUUACGCUUACUUGGAAAGUACAUGCUGUAACAGCACAUCUGGAAAUAUUUGUUGAUUUGAAUGGCCUUUUCCUUGGGUAGUUUAAUGAGCAGACAUCUGAAUCCUGCCAUUCCAAGAUGAAAAGUGUAAUAAACAGGUUUGGAGUCUCGCAGUACAGCAACAAACAUAAAGAAAGAAGCAAAAGAAUUGCUGAAGUGUUCAGUUCUAAUAAUUUAUAAGUUAUUGAACAUUAAUUGUACAUUAAAACAUAAACAUUAUUGAAAUCUUAAGUUAAAAAAAUUUGUAAAUUUAUUCAAAAAGACAUUAAAAAUAUAUUAGUAUAAACAGUUUUUGAAAUAUUUUAUUUAGUAUUUAUUAUAUUACUAUUAUUUAUAUAUAUUAGAUUAUUAGGCAACUAUGCAUACAAUACUAAUAUUUUACUAAAUUACUUAUCAAUAUGUUCUACUUUACAAAGCAUACUAUGUUCCUAAUAUAAUUCAAGCAUAUCUAAACCUUUUUCACCAACUUAGAUAUAUCUAAGAGCUAACUUAUGAAGUUGAUGUGUAAAUACAAA